rnacentral:lncRNA from 1 species
AGGAUUAAGAAAAAAAAAUCAUAUUUCAAUGUAAAAUAAUUCCUCCUCAAACAUUCAAAGUGUUGAACCCUACAAAUACAUACAACUUAGCUUAGCUUAAAUUAUUGUACAGAAACACAUAAGGUAGUAGAGAAACUCCCUCAUCAUAAGAACAUAACCACAAGGCUCCUUUCUCCGGAUUGCUCACUGAGAUCAUUGGAAUGCUAGAAGAACUCUUUGCAAGUCUAGAUAAACGACAAUUGUUGUUUCCAAAAAAAAGCAAGAAAAAAUCACAAAACAUAUAAUUACUGAGUCAAAAAUAUCAAAACCACAAGCGAAACUAAUAAAGCUAGCAUCACUUAUCAUUCUCCUAACAAAUUGAUCGAAAGAAACAGGAUAGCAACAAAAAAACUUACUAAAAUUUAAACUUUUUGUUUUAAGCUGAAAUUAGAAGUAAAAAGUUAGGCACCAAUAAGAGUUCUUCCUCAAUAUCUAACCAUACGUCCCUAGAAAAACAAUAGGUUGAAAUAUCAGUUAAACGUGCAAAGCCUAACAUUCAUUUCCAUAAAUGUCGAACCACAUGUACAUGACCAAACCACACGUAUGUUAUCAAGGUUCCUUCCCAUAAGUAGUACUUCAUAGUUGAUUUUCAUGUGACAGAAAAGAAAAGGUGAAAUCAAUGGUUUUUUAAGUUUUAAAACCAAAAGAAAUAUUUUUUGUUAUCCCUAGGAAAGAAAGGAACAGUCAUAGUCAAGUUUAUUCAAAUGUACCCAAAUUUAAAAAUUACAAUCAAGGCCUUGAGAAGCGAAGCACAUAGUGACAAAAGCCACUUAUCACUUCUCCACAAGCUGGUAGAGACCAAGAGAUGAACAAAAACCAAUGCACAGGGCUCCUCAAUAUCAUAAUGCAAUUAAUUAAAUCACAAAAUUAUAAAACGGAACCAAUUUUUCAAUGAUGGCAGCCACAUCUCCACAAGCUAGUGGGAUCUCAGAAAAGCCAAUACUCAAAAUUCACUACUACUUAAGAGUAUUAAUUAAAUAAAAGAUUAUGGAUAAUGACAUCCAAAAUAGCUUAUUUUCCAAUCUUUAACCUACAACCUGAUGAGAGAAAGGGACUUCUGGGAAGUAAGGAACCAAAUGAAUUAAAAACCCCAUAACUUCCCUCGAUCAAUCUAAUUUAAUCAUAUUCAAAAUAGAAAACCCAUUAUUUAAAGAAAAAAGAACUCCCUCAUGAUUAGUGCUCUAUGACAACACUGGCUGGAGUUAAUACCUGAAAGAUGUGGUAAGAAGAUCUCAGCCUUCCAUAGUUCCAAAUCAGUCGGGAUUAAAAAAAAAAAAGAAUUAUAUUUCAAUGUAAAAUAAUACUUCCUCAAACAUUCAAAGUGUUGAACCCUACAAAUACAUACAACUUAGCUAGCUUAAAUUAUUAUACAUUCUUUAGUAAGAAUAUUAGGAGUUAAUACUGUUGACUAAAACAGAAACACAUAAGGGAGUAUAGAAACUCCCUCAUCAUAAGAACAUAACCGCAAUGCUAUCAAGGUUCCAUAAAUGUCGAACCACAUGUGCAUGACCAAACCACACGUAUGUUAUCAAGGUUCCUUCCCAUAAGUAGUACUUCGUAGUUGAUUUUCAUGUGACAGAAAAGAAAAGGUGAAAUCAAUGGUUUUUUAGGUUUUAAAACCAAAAGCAAUAUUUUUUGUUAUCCCUGGGAAAGAAACAUAAAUUAUUUGUUUGAUGGUCUACUGCAUCCAAAUAUUUAACCUAGAAUAACAGAUAUCAGCUAUAACAGAGAAACAAUAUAUACAAUCCUAUGGAGGCUAAAAACAGAUAAAAGGUGCAACACUUCCACAUUUACCUGCAUAUUUCCAAUUAAAUGGGCAAAAAGAACCAGACCCGAGAUAGCAAUAAGUGUAGCAAAUGCAGUUUCCAAACCCUGGCUGAUGGAACUGAAAAUAUAAAAAGCAAAAAACAUCUGUUAAAAGGUUAUAAUAAACCUUCACACAACACUUUUUACCACUACUCACGCAUUCUACGCGGAUGAAGUAUAUAAGUUUGGAAUAGAGCUAUUUUAUGUUGCAAAAAAAAAAAGUGAUUAUAAAUUUAUGAGUCAUGAAGAUAAUCAUAUGUUUAGUCUUUGCAUGAGUACGGAGGAGGGGGACCAAAAGCUUCAAUUAAUUUCCAAGCAUUGAUUCAAAUAGCAAAUAAAGAUGAUAAAGUUUCAUCUGUCAUCACUUGUAAUGGAAUUUAACUUUUUUGGUACUUUCAUAAAUUUGUACCUCACUUUUUUGGAUCACAGCCAUUAAACACCUGAGUAUUGUUUCCUCAUAGUUUGCUUUCAUCUUUAUUCAAAGUACCACAAUCCAAAUAAGAGAGACUGCACUUUCAUGUCUAUAAGCAUACUUGCAGUACGUCACCUGACGCUCAAUUGACAACAGAUACCACGAGGCUCCUAAGACCUACAAGAUCAGAAGGCUAAUCAUUGCAAGACUGCUAAGAGUAGAAUACUAUUCAGACCCAAUAGCAUUUUUAUACAGAAGUAGACAAAAUAGUAAUGCUAAAUCAUCUAAAAUAGAAGAAUGAUAGCCUGUCAUGCUCCAACUGAAGAAUUAAGAAUACUGGAAAACAGAAUUUAGGGAGAGUCUUGCCCUUAGUAUUUUCACAUAAAGUGGUUGUUGCUCUUAAAACUGUUCCUCUACCCUUGAGCAAGACUUCUACCAUUGCAGCAUGCAAUGGCCCAGCUAUUAACAAAAUAUUAGCAUACAAAAUUUGACUUGAGAUUACAUACAUGAUUAGCCAACAUGUAGAGCAGGAGGUUAUAGGCAGCCCCAGCCUAAGCAGUCUUUGUGACUAUUCCAGUGGCUUUGAUGAUCUCAGAAUCGUGGAAAUUACUGGAGAAGAGCAAUCAGUAGAAGAGCAUUGUUGGUAUGAUCAGAAUAGAGCCUCUAAUUGCCAGAACAAUAAACCAUGUCACAAUCUGCAAAAAAUAUGCUUACGAUUCAAAUUCUGUGAAUUAAAAGAGGCUAAUAAUACACAAGCUCCACAUACGAGGAUCCAAAAUAAAAACCUGUGCACAAGCCUGCAACUAAUUUUUUAAAGAAAGGAACAGUCAUAGUCAAGUUUAUUCAAAUGUACCCAAAUUUGAGAAUUGCAAUCAAGGCCUUGAGAAGCGAAGCACAUAGUGACAAAAGCCACUUAUCACUUCUCCAUAAGCUGGUAGAGACUAAGAAAUGAACAAAAACCAAUGCACAGGGCUCCUCAAUAUCAUAAUGCAAUUAAUUAAAUCACAAAAUUAUAAAACGGAACCAAUUUUUCAAUGAUGGCAGCCAUAUCUCCACAAGCUAGUGGGAUCUCAGAAAAGCCAAUACUCAAAAUUCACUACUACUUAAGAGUAUUAAUUAAAUAAAAGAUUAUGGAUAAUGACAUCCAAAAUAGCUUAUUUUUCAAUCUUUAACCUACAACCUGAUGAGAGAAAGGGACUUCUGGGAAGUAAGGAACCAAAUGAAUUAGAAACCCCAUAACUUCCCUCGAUCAAUCUAAUAUAAUCAUAUUCAAAAUAGAAAACCCAUUAUUCAAAGAAAAAAGAACUCCCUCAUGAUUAGUGCUCUAUGACAACACUAGUUGGAGUUAAUACCUGAAAGAUGUGGUAAGAAGAUCUCAGCCUUCCAUAGUUCCAAAUCAGUCAGGAUUAAAAAAAAAAAAAAGAAUUAUAUUUUAAUGUAAAAUAAUACUUCCUCAAACAUUCAAAGUGUUGAACCCUACAAAUACAUACAACUUAGCUAGCUUAAAUUAUUGUACAUUCUCUAGUAAGAAUAUUAGGAGUUAAUACUGUUGACUAAAACAGAAACACAUAAGGAGGUAUAGAAACUCCCUCAUCAUAAGAACAUAACCGCAAGGCUCCUUUCUCCGGAUUGCUCACUGAGAUUAUUGGAAUGCUAGAAGAACUCUUUUCAAGUCUAGAUAAACGACAACUGUUGUUGCCAAAAAAAGCAAGAAGAAAUCACAAAACAUAUAAUUACUGAGUCAAAAAUAUCAAAACCACAAACAAAACUAAUAAAGCUAGCAUCACCUUACCAUUCUCCUAACAAAUUGAUCAAAAGAACAGGAUAGCAACCAAAAAACUUACUGAAAUUUAAACUUUUUGUUUUAAGCUGAAAUUAGAAGUAAAAAGUUAGGCACCAAUGAGAGUUCUUCCUGAAUAUCUAACCAUACGUCCCUAGAAAAACAAUGGUUUGAAAUAUCAGUUAAACGUGCAAAGCCUGACAUUCAUUUCUAUAAAUGUCGAACCACAUGUACAUGACCAAACCAGACCUAUGUUAUCAAGGUUCCUUCCCAUAAAUGUCUGUCCAUAAAAAGACGAGUUGGGUAAGAAGAAACUUUUUAUUCUCAACCAGACCUAAUUGGCAGACACAGACCAAAACUAAUGAUCAAGAUGACUGGCUAACUUUAAUCUAUCUACUUAACAAACAUAUUUUAAAAAACGAUUAGCUAAAAAGAAAAGACUCCGAACAGAUACUUGACAAUCAACCCACUAAAUGGAUUUUCAAAAUAAGAAGGAAAACAGAGAAAGGUGCAAACACUGAGAUUCAAUUAUUUUGUUUUCUGAUCUAAUCUUUGUGUUCAAAACGCCAAAAAAAGGAUUGGCAAGAUUAAAACUCCCUACAGAAAGAUUAUCACUAAAAUCUUAUUGUUAUACCCAAUAAGAUUAUUAAAUACAUUUUACCCAUAAUAUUUAAGAUGCAAAGCAAAGCAGAAUUAUCGAAUAGAAAUAAAAAGUGAAAUAAUUUACCAUUUUGGUACUUGAGGCUCUUUUUCCCUUCUCUCAGUUGGAUGCUUUCUUGAUUGAAUUUAUUUAGAGCUUCUAUAACUAAAAAAGAGUGCAAAAAUAGCUCUACUCCCAGUAAAAAAGAAAUGAAAACAUAUGAUAUAAAUAAAUAAACCACAGGCAAUCGCUUUCUUGUUCUUACUAAAGUGUCCAACAACAUAAAUACAAAAAAAAAUCACAUAAAAAUUUGCAGCUAGCUAACCUUCAAAAUUAGCAUCAUUAUACUACAAUUGACCUAGGCUGGAGAGCGGACAAGGUAGCCAAUGUGUGCUAAAAUGCCAUGAUGCAUAGCAUGUAAUACAGAAGACGACAUAGCCAAUAUAUGCCAAAAUGCCAAAAGAAUUUAAAAGAAAAAGUAUUAGCAAACAUUUUAGUAAAAUAUAAGAUAAUUAUUUUAUAUUUUUAUUUAAACUGGGUCAAUUGGAAUAUUAAAUAUAUUUCACCUAUAAUAUUCAAGGCGCAAAGCAAAGCAAAAUUAUCGAAUACAAAUAAGAAGUAGAGUAAUUUACCAUUGUGGCACUUGAGGCUCUUUUUCACUUCUCUCAAUUGGAUGCUUUUAUGAUUGGAUUUAUUUGCUAUAACCCAAAAAGAAUAUUGAUCAAAACUAUAGAGUUGAACUGCAGGAAGAUGGAGAAAGGAAAGUCAAACCAAGUGUACAGCCAAUAUGUGUACCUUUAGAAGAUUCUGACUAUUGAUCAAAGCUACAAAGCAUUUCCAAAAACAACUCAAUCUUAGAGUAAUUGUAAAAGGUUAAACAGAUUCCACAAAGGGUGAUGCAGAAUAAAGAAGACAAAAUUAAGCAAAUGCAUGCAAUUUUACUUCCUGAUUUCACUCAUCCCAAGUCGAUCAUGAAACAAAUUUUAGAUUGAAACAAGAAGCUAUUAAAAUAUAGAUCAAGAUCAAGCCACAGGAACUUCAUUUCCUUCUUUGGCACACAGUAAUUUAUGGAGUACAAGAUUAGAACUUCAAAACAAGAAAAGUAUAUUUUUCUGUUAGAAAGUUAUCACUAUUCACCUUAUAUCUCUCUUUAAAAAGUUAUCACUAUUCACCUUAUAUCUCUCUUUUAAAAAGUUAUCACUAUUCACCUUCUUUUAAGUCACGUAUCAUAAAUAUUAAGAAAAGCUAGCAUUGAAAAUAAGAAGCUAUGUACGUAACAAGAACCAAAUGAAAUUAGGAGAAAGUUUGACCCUGGCCAAAAAUGCCCAACCAAAAACUAAAACCCAAAUCCUGCAAGGAAGAAAAUACAGAGAGAGUAAACUAGAACCAAAUUGAAUAAUUAAACUUAAUCCAGCUACAACUAUCUAAACAUCAGCAAUAUCAUAAUUAAGUAGAGACACAAAAACCAAAAGCACAAAACAUUGAAAGCCAAUCACUAGAGCAAUCACCCAAAAUAAUAUACUAAUGUCUAUUAGCAAUGCAAUAAAACUACAGUUUUGCGACAAUGGAAGACAUAAGAUCAGUAGGUAGUAGCAUAAAGAGCUCAGCCUUCCAUAGUUCCAAAUCAGUCAGGAUUAAGAAAAAAAAAAAAGAAUCAUAUUUCAACGUAAAAUAAUACUUAACAAUCAAAAUGUUGAACCCUACAAAUACAUACAACUUAACUAGCUUAAAUUAUUGUACAUCUAUUAGGAGUUAAUACUGUUGACUAAAACAGAAACACAUAAGGUAGUAGAGAAACUCCCUCAUCAUAAGAACAUAACCACAAGGCUCCUUUCUCCGGAUUGCUCACUGAGAUUAUUGGAAUGCUAGAAGAACUCUUUUCAAGUCUAUAUAAACGACAGCUGUUGUUUACAAAAAAAGCAAGAAGAAAUCACAAAACAUAUAAUUACUGAGUCAAAAAUAUCAAAACCACAAACGAAACUAAUAAAGCUAGCAUCACCUCACCAUUCUCCUAACAAAUUGAUCGAAAGAAACAGCAUAGCAACCAAAAAACUUACUGA